GCCCGGGUAGCUCAAUCGGUAGAGCGUGUGGCUCUUAAUAAAUGGAAACCUCAAGGUCGCGGGUUCGAGCCCCGCCUCGGGCU
rnacentral:tRNA from 2 species